GAGAAUGCUUUAAUAUAACCCCUUGCCUUAGGCACACACAUGUCCGCACUUUAUUUCUGAGACCAGACUCCAACUCAUCUUUCAGAAUCCAAUUUCACGCAGCACCUGCUCCACAGUGCCUUUCCCCGCCCACCUGAGGCCAGAGAGAAGAUUCAUUGCUCAGAGGGCUACUGGCGCUGAUGGUGGGCGGCUCCCUCGUUAGCCAGAACAUAGAGAUAAGAGGGUGUGGCCAGAGCGAGGGAUGCUCUGUAUCUCUCCACUUAGGCUUCCUUGGGGAAAACGAAGUUUCCAGGUCAGUGCAUCUUGCUUUCGAUGCCAGAGUUGACAUUAGGUCCAUUCCAUAGUCUUAACUGACCUCACUUCUCAGAAAAUGUCCUUUUUUUUUUUCAUGGACACAGAAGACAAGCACCUGUAAUUCAACCCUGUGAGGGAAAUGUGUUGACCCAGGUUCCGGAGUUCCUCUCCCAGACUGUGGAGGGCGAUUUGGAAGUGUCUGCAUGAAGUAGCUGCUAGACGCAGAGGCAUCAUAGUCUCAUGGUAACAGCCUGUGGUACGACUGGAGUCAAAACAAGAGAUUUGCUGUCCAGAAAGAUAAUCCGGUGGCGGUGUGGAUAGAUGGAUGAAUAGCACAGGACAGCUUGGAAGCUGCCUCAGAAGUCCAAGACGUAAACGAUGCUUUGCCAAUUAGGACAGCUCAGUGGUGUGGCAAAGGGGUAUCCUGAGCAAGUAUUUACAGCGCUCGCGAUUUGUGCUACUUCAUCUGUGUCUGCAUGUCUGUCUCUUUGUACCUGUGUGUCUCUGUCCUUGGGACUGCACAGUUAAAAGAAUGUGAUGUGACCCAUGCACAUAUUUCCUUGUUCCCCUCGAGUCCCCUCCCUCCUCAGGACGCUUCUGGAGUACGUGCUCUGACCUCGGCUGUGGUGCUGACAGAGCUGGACAGCAAGAAAUGAGGACGGAGGAAAACUCAGAGCAAAGGGGAACUUAAGCAAGACUUUGCAAGGACUGGAGAGAUAAGGUAUCCACGGCAGAUCAGGGAAAUUAUCCCACCCAAGCCUACUUUGGUGAUCCAGUAAAUGUAUUGGUGUUACUUACUGGCGUCGGAGGCACAAAGUCAUCACUAAAAAGCCCACCCCAGCAUGGACGGCAAGUUGAUCUGUGUGCCUGCACAGCUAGCAAUCAGAGGAGUCGCCACACCCCAGCUUUUACAAGCUUGAGAAGGAGCCUUGUGAAUCUUGUAACUUUCAUGAGCUUCUAUGAAAGCCUUCUAUGUUUUAUUAGCUUCCUGAGUAUUAGUUUAAAAAAAUAAAAAGUCUUAGUAAACCUCUCUC